GACGCACGGGUUCCCGGAGGGGGGGCGCUGCUCGGGGAGCCCUUGGGUUCGAAGAGGCCGGCCCAGUAUCGAGGAAGAGCACGCCGCGCCGCCCUUGGUUCUUCCCCUUUCCGGUCCAAGGCCUUUAGCACUGGCCCGGGCUCUAGAGGAGACGCGGCUCAGGGGAGCGGAGCAAGUUCUAGGCUCAGACCUUACCUCUGCUGCUUUCGGCUUGGCCACUUGAGACGGUCCCUUCCCCUUCGGGGCCUCGGUUUCCUCCUCUGUAAAGGGAGGAGAUCGGACUGUCGAAGACCUCUUAGUGCCCCUCCUCGAGUCUUCUUAGCCUGUGCUCCUAACAGCUGCCCGGGGCGGGAAAGAGGGGAGCCCCCGUGCUCGACCCUGGCUGACAGCCUAGGCUUCCUGGAGGUGGGUCCCUGCCUGCCCUGGGGGGGGGCAUGCGCUCCACGGCACGGGUUUCCCCCUGAGCCGCUCCCACCCCUGCUCUGUCUUUGUCGCCCCAAUCCUUGGAAGUCCUGCGAGCGCCGCUCUGGCCUGUUUGUCCUUGGGGCCUGCGGCCGGUCGGCGGGCCAUGAGGCCACUUGGUUCAAUGCACCGCCAAGGGCUCAUGCUCCCCCCGCGCCUUUCUGUCACGCUGGACUGUGCGUGUGGCUGCGGGGUUUGCGGCCUCCCCGGGCCCCGGAGCCGAGGUGGGCCGUGUCGCCCGGCUUGGGCCAUUCACCCCGUGUGCCAGCCUGUGAUUCUGGGCCAGUCCGAGGGCGCUGCUCCCCUUCUCUGCAGGCCCGUCGCUGCCCGCCCCCCUCUCAGUCGGGUACUGUGUGCAGACAGCCCCGGGAGGGCUGCCGCCGAGAUGAGAUCUGGGUGCCUCCCGGGCGCCUCCCGGGCGCCUCCCGGGCGCCUCCUGGGUGCCUCCUGGGUGCCUCCCGGGCGCCUCCCGGGUGCCUCCUGGGUGCCUCCUGGGUGCCUCCUGGGUGCCUCCUGGGUGCCUCCUGGGUGCCUCCUGGGUGUCUCCCGGGCGCCUCCCGGGCGCCUCCCGGGUGCCUCCUGGGUGUCUCCCGGGUGCCUCCUGGGCGCCUCCCGGGUGCCUCCUGGGUGCCUCCCGGGCGCCUCCUGGGUGUCUCCCGGGUGCCUCCCGGGUGCCUCCUGGGUGUCUCCUGGGUGCCUCCUGGGUGCCUCCUGGGUGCCUCCUGGACGCCUCCCGGGGAGGACGCAGCUGUUGACUUUGGUUUUCGCCCAGGAUCCACGCCGAACGCUUCCUGUCAGCGCGUGGAGAGCUGCCCGAGGUCUGGCUUAGGAAGGAGCAGAGCAGCCCGGGAGAAAGAAGCUCCUCCCAGGCCGCCGCCCCUGGGCCGAGCAGACGAGGGAGCCCCCUCUGCGAGAGGGCCGGCAGCCCCCCUUGGGAGGCGGCGGUCACCGCGGUCUCCGGCCCCAGCAGGACACACGACUCUGAACCCGUCACGUAAACGUCAGGGAUUUCAGGCACUGACACUCUCUCUGUAA
rnacentral:lncRNA from 1 species